rnacentral:lncRNA from 1 species
GAGCUGCUUCCUUCUGUAACUACAAAGGCUCUGGAGCUCUACAAUCAGCAUGAGGCAAAGCCAGAUAAGCCUGCGACCUGCUCUUCAGGGUGGUGAGAUCCUCCAGACUCCAGCACCCAGAGAUGCUCUCCUGAGGCCCAGACCACCACUGCCAGCCAUGGAGGAGGAGUGGCGUUGGCGAUUCAGGACUGCUUUUUCUGUCUCUUCAGUGCCUCUCUCAGCAACAUGAAGGUAA